rnacentral:rRNA from 1 species
CCGCUGAAAGCAUCUAAGCGGGAAGCGAGCCUCAAGAUGAGUCAUCCCUGAUACUUUAAGUAUCCUAAAGGGUUGUUGGAGACUACGACGUAGAUAGGCAGGGUGUGUAAGCGCUGUGAGGCGUUGAGCUAACCUGUACUAAUUGCCCGUGAGGCUUAACCAUACAACACCCAAGGGGUUU